UUCUUAUAAAGCUUGAGAGGAACAUAUACGAAAAGUAUAAACUAGAAAUAGAUAGCCAUCAUUUUACUUACGUUUUCUUUUACAUAAACACACGUUAAUAUAUCUUUUAUAUGUACCAAAUACUCUAACUUUAUUUACAGAAAAAAAUCGUAAAUUAAAUGAAAUAAAUGGUAAAUAUCUUUGCAAAAACAACAACGAAAAAGUUAAAACACUUUAUUCAAAAAUUUGAUGGUUUACAAUUGUUUUUUUUUGUCUAGAUGUGAAUCUAAGAACACGUGAAGGCUUAUCUAUUUGUUCCACUUGCUAAGUCAUUCUAUACGAUAUUUGUUUCUCCACCGUCGAAACGAUGAUUCUUUAUUCCACUUACAUUUCAAGAAUGCGUUGUGUAUGUGCCAAGUUUGUUGGUAUUCUUGUUGUUGUUUCUAUA
rnacentral:lncRNA from 1 species